AUGAACGCUGGCGGCGUGCUUAAUACAUGUAAGUCGAACGAGGAGUUUUGCUUCGGUAGAACUCCGAGUGGCGAACGGGUGAGUAACGCGUUGGUGACCUGCCCCGAAGUGGGGGAUAACGGCUCGAAAGGGCUGCUAAUACCCCAUGUGGUCGUAGAGGUUAGAGGCUCUACGUCUAAAGGCGUAAUUCGCUUCGGGAUGGGCCUGCGUCCCAUCAGCUAGUUGGUAGGGUAAUGGCCUACCAAGGCGACGACGGGUAGGGGGCCUCAGAGGGUGACCCCCCACAUUGGCACUGAAACACGGGCCAAACACCUACGGGUGGCAGCAGUAGGGAAUAUUGCACAAUGAGCGAAAGCUUGAUGCAGCAACGCCGCGUGCGCGAUGACGGCCUUCGGGUUGUAAAGCGCUUUUCGGGGAGAUGAGGAAGGACAGUAUCCCCGGAAUAAGUCUCGGCUAACUACGU
rnacentral:rRNA from 1 species